CCCUUCUUUGUCACGACUCUUCAGGCAGCAUUUCUGUGUCAUAAGGAAUCUGCAUAUGAGUUCCAGUUCCAUGGCUGCCACCUCCUCCUAUGCCUCUGUCUCUUUCCUCUGACCCAUGUGUCAUCCAUUGCUUGGAAGACUGAAUCUAACAGAUUUUCUCACUCCUGCUUUGAAAGUGUCUAAGCCAAGGAAAGAUGAAACUCAUGAAUAAUCCAACCAACACCCUAUAAUCUGAAAUUCCUCAAAGCCUUAAGUCAGAAUAAGCACAAUGAUACUGUUUCAAAGGACUCUGAAUUAGAACUUUUUUAUUGGAAAAUUUAUAUUGAAUGAUCAGAGGGUUAAAUCUUCAGUGACAAAUUCCAAACUGUCUCAGUUCUCUGUUUGAAUUCAAUUUCUUCAAAAUUGAUGAAUACCAGAGUUUCCGUCAAGAGCAUUAAGGAUUCUGAGGCGCCAGUACCAGGUGUCAAGGGUUACAGCCACAUCUCUGUAUCAGUAAUGUCCUGAUUGGAAAUUAUGGUCACCUGAUCAAUAUGGAGCAGCCUAAGGAAGAUGAAGAAAGAAGACACUAUCUAAAACCAGUGUAAAGAAUGAGGCUCUAACUCAUGGGUGAAAAUGAUUGUUUGAAAACCCUGUAUAGUAAAAAAAAAAAAAAAAUA
rnacentral:lncRNA from 1 species